AUGGAUAUUAAGGGUCUUAUAUUUUGAUACACGCUUAGGUUCUUAGGUUUUGUAAUGUCGUAUAUCAAAUUACCUAUAUUUGUCCUUUCUUGCAUUUAGCUUGGUGUUGUGCUUAUCGUUAUCUUGAAAUCAGCUUGUGUUUGUUUCCUUAAUGUUGUUUUCAUCUUGUUUUUGUUUUUCAUAGAUAGUCUUAUAUCUCUUGGUAUCAAGAUCAAGGUUUGAUUUUGUUC
rnacentral:lncRNA from 1 species